CUAAUACAUUAAAAUUAGCACUUUCCCAGUACGUUUAUUCAACCUUUUCCCUAAGAUUCUUCAUACUGCAUUGCUGUAAUGACCUAAUUGACUUAUUACCCAAACGGAUUUUAUUUAGUUUGAGACUUUGUUUUGGCAGUGACUCCCACUUGUUUAUUCAGUUUCUUAAAAAAUACCACAUUGAGCCAAUCAGUCUUAAACCUGUGAGGUUGUUCUAGAAUUCAUUUGAUAAUUGCAUAUUUUUGUGUUCCUUCACCAGCCCGGUGGACAGUUCUCGAUUUGGGUCUUCUGGUAACCUUAGCCAAGCAAGUUCCCAGUUCAGCUCUGAGCCAGAAGAACAAAGCUAUUCCGAUGCUCAGAUCAGGCCUUCUGUUGUUGCUCAGCAUCUUCCGGCCUCAGAUGAAACAGAAAAAGGGGAAAGAGAGAUAUAUGCAAAUGUGGAGAAAGAAGUACAGGGAGAGUGUGUGCCCAAGCCUGUUGCUAAUCAAGGGAGAAAGCCAGAGAGGCAGCACAGUUUCUAUGAGGAUGGACCACGUGCUUUCUCUCCUUCCCGCCUGCGCUGGUUGAAGGCCAUCAGUAAAGUCAGAGUGAAGCUGCAUGAGGUAGGAGGGAGAGAACAAAACAUCUCUCACCUUUUCAAACAGUUAAAAAAGAAAUCAUUCUUGUUUUUUGUCCUCCUCUUCCUCAUCUUUUCACUUGUUUGCUCUCUUGAUAUUUAUCUAAACUCAACAAUUCCUGGUUCUUUGCCCUUCUGUUGUUUGGUUGAUUGAGAUUCACUUGACAAAUUCAAAGUCACAGGCUGCUGCUGGGAAUGAAAGUAAUGACAUUUCAGUUAUUUCUAAUGUUUAUUCCAUUUGAAUGGCCUGUAUUUAUAGGAUAAGAUGAAGAAAUAUGUAUAGUUUUAGUUUUGAAAAUGACUAGUUUUUGUAAUGUGCACUGUUUUGUAUGUAAAAUAAGUUUAGAAUUUUUGAGUUAUCAUGUUUGUGUUGUUUGUGUAUUUGUUUAGUUUUUUGAUGCCUUGUGUUUUUAUGUAUGUGUGUGUGCUGAGAGAUAUUCAGAUUGAUUGUAAACAGCCACUGAAUGUAUGAGUCAUUGUGAGUGUCUGCUUACUUUCUUAAGCUUUUCCCUGAGUCAUACUCUGGUUGCUUUGGUAAUUGAAAAAAAUGUGUGCCACCCAGUAUGCUCUGUUAUUGUUUAGCUGUGGUCUAAUUUGGAUUUGAGAGUUGUUAUUUUUUAUAUUGUUUGACGUGCGCUGCUGGAAAGGCUGUAGGGUGUUUGUCACUUUGACUGAAAUCAUUCCACAGUACUAGAUGACUUUUUUAAAAUGAAGAAGAUUAAAUGAUUCUAUACUACUUGAGGUUUUUGGUGCAAUGUAUGGACUGUCAGUGGUUCCCUAACACAUUAUAAAAAAUAGGAUAUUUGAGACUCCUUGAAAAGGUCUUUUAAAGAAUCUCCAAUAGGUUCCACCAGUGUGGCAUUCUGAGAAAUGUCUCAAUACUCACUCACUCUCUCUCUCUCUCUCUCUCUCUCUCUCUUUAUUAUAGCAUAAAAUUGUCAGUGCAGAGGUUGUCAUAUAGAAUCAGUGGUGUGUCCUUGAGUGUUCUUUAGAGACAAAAGGUGGAGAGAGCAGAUUCAGUAUGUAUAAGAAGAGAGGAGAAAUGGUAGUGACAGAGAUGACUGUCUUAGUACAUCAAAGCAUGUUAGCAACUGGAGCCCACUACUGUAUUAUUUAUUUUAACAAUAGCAGUGUCAUUAGAGAAAUCAGAUAAU
ensembl:lncRNA